rnacentral:sRNA from 1 species
GGCUCCUGGGCCUGGCUCCUCGACCCGCCCCUGGAGGCGGACCCCACUUGACUUAAACUCUGGGGCCCGGGAGGCCGCCGGCUUUCUCCCUGCUUGCCGGGGUGGUCCUCUCCUCUUUGUCGGACCAAAGAAGUAAAUACUGUGUGGAGGGGGACUGACGUGUUUGGAGGGAAAUGGGAAGGUACACGAUAAUUAAAGAGUAAAGUUGUGCUUAACGAUAAUGUUAAUUCAAGACUCUCAAAGAGAAGCUUCAGUGCAGAUGGAUUUGAGAUGCUACAAAACCCAGUAAAAGAUUCAAAAGAAAUGUUUCAAACCUACAAACAGAUGUACCUGGAGAAGAGAAGCAGAAGCCUUGGUAGCAGUCCUGUAAAAUAAUUACAAGAUGUGGUUUUGUAAUUGCCACUGGGAAAUUUCUUUCCUUUUCUGUUCAAAAUAUUUCGCUGAAACUAAUGAGAAAUGCCAUGAUAAAGAUUUCUCAGAGUUUGGUUCCCACUUUCAUUAUGUUUCAUUGAAAGUGCUUAAGAACUUUGGGUAGCCAUGUGUAAGAAAUGGAUGAUGUUCACCGGGGAAACAUAAGGUAUUUGAAUUUCUGCUUUAUUGAACCAGGUUUGCUAUUAUUUUAAAUGGAGUGCUUAUACAAAUCAAUUUGAAAUUCUACCCAU